rnacentral:rRNA from 1 species
AUGGAUCCCGCGCCCGAGCAGAGGAGGCUGCGUCCUCGAGCUCCUUCUGGUUCCCGUGCCUCCGACAACCAGUGCCUGGCGGCGAGCGCCCCGUCUAACAAAGGUGCCCCGCCAGGAUCUCCGAGCCGCUACAACGCCCUCGUCUCGUCUCCCUCUCUUCUCCUGCACCUCGUUCCCGGCGCCGAAAACAUUGCGGCCGCGCCAUGGCCUCCCUCCUCCCAUGCCCUGCUUCUCGCCGGUGACCAUGAUCAGCCUCGACCACCUGCGACCCUUCCUCCACUAAACGUCCCCGGACAGGAGCAAUUUUGA